rnacentral:rRNA from 1 species
GAUGAACGCUGGCGGCGUGCCUAAUACAUGCAAGUCGAGCGAACAGACGAGGAGCUUGCUCCUCUGACGUUAGCGGCGGACGGGUGAGUAACACGUGGAUAACCUACCUAUAAUACUGGGAUAACUUCGGGAAACCGGAGCUAAUACCGGAUAAUAUAUUGAACCGCAUGGUUCAAUAGUGAAAGACGGUUUUGCUGUCACUUAUAGAUGGAUCCGCGCCGCAUUAGCUAGUUGGUAAGGUAACGGCUUACCAAGGCAACGAGGCGUAGCCGACCUGAGAGGGUGAUCGGCCACACUGGAACUGAGACACGGUCAAGACUCCUACGGGAGGCAGCAGUAGGGAAUCUUCCGCAAUGGGCGAAAGCCUGACGGAGCAACGCCGCGUGAGUGAUGACGGUCUUCGGAUCGUAAAACUCUGUUAUUAGGGAAGAACAAAUGUGUAAGUAACUAUGCACGUCUUGACGGUACCUAAUCAGAAAGCCACGGCUAACUACGUG